UACGUAGGGGGCGAGCGUUGUCCGGAAUUAUUGGGCGUAAAGAGCUCGUAGGCGGUUUGUCGCGUCUGCUGUGAAAACCCGAGGCUCAACCUCGGGCCUGCAGUGGGUACGGGCAGACUAGAGUGCGGUAGGGGAGAUUGGAAUUCCUGGUGUAGCGGUGGAAUGCGCAGAUAUCAGGAGGAACACCGAUGGCGAAGGCAGAUCUCUGGGCCGUAACUGACGCUGAGGAGCGAAAGCAUGGGGAGCGAACAGG
rnacentral:rRNA from 1 species